rnacentral:rRNA from 1 species
AAGCUUGCUUCUUUGCUGACGAGUGGCGGACGGGUGAGUAAUGUCUGGGAAACUGCCUGAUGGAGGGGGAUAACUACUGGAAACGGUAGCUAAUACCGCAUAACGUCGCAAGACCAAAGAGGGGGACCUUCGGGCCUCUUGCCAUCGGAUGUGCCCAGAUGGGAUUAGCUAGUAGGUGGGGUAAAGGCUCACCUAGGCGACGAUCCCUAGCUGGUCUGAGAGGAUGACCAGCCACACUGGAACUGAGACACGGUCCAGACUCCUACGGGAGGCAGCAGUGGGGAAUAUUGCACAAUGGGCGCAAGCCUGAUGCAGCCAUGCCGCGUGUAUGAAGAAGGCCUUCGGGUUGUAAAGUACUUUCAGCGGGGA